rnacentral:rRNA from 1 species
CCUAUGGGAGGCAGCAGUGAGGAAUAUUGGUCAAUGGCCGUAAGGCUGAACCAGUCAAGUCGCGUGAAGGAAGAAGGAUCUAUGGUUUGUAAACUUCUUUUAUAGGGGAAUAAAGGUAUCCACGUGUGGAUAUUUGCAUGUACCCUAUGAAUAAGCAUCGGCUAACUCCGUUCCAGCCGCCGCGGUAAUGAGGAGGAUGCGAGCGUUAUCCGGAUUUUUUGGGUUUAAAGGGGGUGGAGGUUGUUGUUUAAGUCAGCGGUGAAAGUUUGUGGCUCAACCAUAAAAUUGCCGUUGAAACUGGAAGACUUGAGUAUGUUUGAGGUAGGCGGAAUGCGUGGUGUAGCGGGGAAAUGCAUAGAUAUCACGCAGAACUCCGAUUGCGAAGGCAGCUUACUAAGCCAUAACUGACACUGAAGCACGAAAGCGUGGGGAUCAAACAGGAUUAGAUACCCGAGUAGUC